GACGUUGCGCAGUAACAAUAACGUGACCAGUGAGUACUUUCCGAGGUGCGUUUAUUGCUGGUUGGAAGCUAUAAGAUUAAUGCCAAGUAUAUAUUAGGGCAAAGCCGGACAUUUACACAGUACCUUUGUUGACCGUAACCUUUGCGUUAAAUCGAAAGUU
rnacentral:snRNA from 1 species